rnacentral:rRNA from 1 species
GGAUCAAUGAGUUGGUCGUGCCCUUGGUAUGAACUGGCUUUAUUGGUUCUCACCUUCUAAUGAACCAUAAUGUCAUUCAUUUGAUGUUUUGGGAAUUAGGACUGUUACCUUGAAAAAUUAGAGUAGUUUAAAGCAGGUCUCACGCUUGAAUACAUUAGCAUGGAAUAAUGAAAUAGGACAUCGCAUUCUAUUUUGUUGGUUUCUAGGAUCGAUGUAAUGAUUAAUAGGGAUAGUUGGGC